GACGAACGCUGGCGGCGUGCUUAACACAUGCAAGUCGAACGGAAAGGCCCUGCUUUUGUGGGGUGCUCGAGUGGCGAACGGGUGAGUAACAAGUGAGUAACCUGCCCUUGACUUUGGGAUAACUUCAGGAAACUGGGGCUAACACCGGACAGGAGCUCCUGCUGCAUGGUGGGGGUUGGAAAGUUUCGGCGGUUGGGGAUGGACUCGCGGCUUAUCAGCUUGUUGGUGGGGUAGUGGCUUACCAAGGCUUUGACGGGUAGCCGGCCUGAGAGGGUGACCGGCCUCAUUGGGUCUGAGAUACGGCCCAGACUCCUACGGGAGGCAGCAGUGGGGAAUAUUGCACAAUGGGCGGAAGCCUGAUGCAGCAACGCCGCGUGCGGGAUGACGGCCUUCGGGUUGUAAACCGCUUUCGCCUGUGACGAAGCGUGAGUGACGGUAAUGGGUAAAGAAGCACCGGCUAACUACGUG
rnacentral:rRNA from 1 species